UAGAGUUUGAUCCUGGCUCAGAAUCAACGCUGGCGGCGUGCCUAACACAUGCAAGUCGAGCGAGAAAAGGUAGCAAUACCCUAGUAAAGCGGCGCACGGGUGAGUAACACGUGGAUAACCUGCCUCGAAGUGGGGAAUAACACCGGGAAACCGGUGCUAAUACCGCAUACUCUGACGAGAUCUGUGGAUUUUGUCAGCAAAGGAGCAAUGCGCUUUGAGAGGGGUCCGGGGCUGAUUAGCCUAGUGGGUCAGGGACGGCGCGGCCAGGGCGCGCAUCAGUCGCCGGUGUGAGGGUGCCGGCGGGCAGGCCCGGCGCGACAGACCGCCGGCACUCCUCGCCGCACUCACGC
rnacentral:rRNA from 1 species